UCCAAGGAAGGCAGCAGGCGCGCAAAUUACCCAAUCCCGACACGGGGAGGUAGUGACAAUAAAUACUGAUACAGGGCUCUUUUGGGUCUUGUAAUUGGAAUGAGUACAAUUUAAAUCCCUUAACGAGGAACAAUUGGAGGGCAAGUCUGGUGCCAGCAGCCGCGGUAAUUCCAGCUCCAAUAGCGUAUAUUAAAGUUGUUGCAGUUAAAAAGCUCGUAGUUGAACCUUGGGCCUGGCUGGCCGGUCCGCCUCACCGCGUGUACUGGUCCGGCCGGGCCUUUCCUUCUGGGGAACCUCAUGCCCUUCACUGGGCGUGUUGGGGAACCAGGACUUUUACUUUGAAAAAAUUAGAGUGUUCAAAGCAGGCCUUUGCUCGAAUACAUUAGCAUGGAAUAAUAGAAUAGGACGUGUGGUUCUAUUUUGUUGGUUUCUAGGACCGCCGUAAUGAUUAAUAGGGAUAGUCGGGGGCAUCAGUAUUCAAUCGUCAGAGGUGAAAUUCUUGGAUUGAUUGAAGACUAACUACUGCGAAAGCAUUUGCCAAGGAUGUUUUCAUUAAUCAGUGAACGAAAGUUAGGGGAUCGAAGACGAUCAGAUACCGUCGUAGUCUUAACCAUAAACUAUGCCGACUAGGGAUCGGACGGUGUUAGUAUUUUGAC
rnacentral:rRNA from 1 species